rnacentral:rRNA from 1 species
AUUGAACGCUAGCGGCAGGCCUAACACAUGCAAGUCGAGCGAGCGGCGGGCGGGUGGGUAAUGUAUGGGGAUCUGCCUGAGGGAGGGGGAUGACUACUGGUAACGGUAACUACUAACGCAUACAAUCAGAUGAACCCAUAUGGGAUUAGCUAGUAGGUGCGGUAACGGCUCACCUAGGCGACGAUCCCUAGCUGGUUUGAGAGGAGGAUCAGCCACACUGGGACUGAGACACGGCCCAGACUCCUACGGGAGGCAGCAGUGGGGAAUAUUGCACAAUGGGCGCAACCCUGAUGCAGCCAUGCCGCGUGUAUGAAGAAGGCCUUCGGGUUGUAAAGUACUUUCAGCCGGGAGGCGUUACCGACAGAAGAAGCACCGGCUAACUCCGUGCCAGCAGCCGCGGUAAUAC